UGCAAGUCGAACGGAAAGGCCCUUCGGGGUACUCGAGUGGCGAACGGGUGAGUAACACGUGGGUGAUCUGCCCUGCACUUUGGGAUAAGCCUGGGAAACUGGGUCUAAUACCGAAUAUGACUGCGCACUUCCUGGUGUGUGGUGGAAAGCUUUUGCGGUGUGGGAUGGGCCCGCGGCCUAUCAGCUUGUUGGUGGGGUAAUGGCCUACCAAGGCGACGACGGGUAGCCGGCCUGAGAGGGUGACCGGCCACACUGGGACUGAGAUACGGCCCAGACUCCUACGGGAGGCAGCAGUGGGGAAUAUUGCACAAUGGGCGCAAGCCUGAUGCAGCGACGCCGCGUGAGGGAUGACGGCCUUCGGGUUGUAAACCUCUUUCAAUAGGGACGAAGCGCAAGUGACGGUACCUAUAGAAGAAGGACCGGCCAACUACGUGCCAGCAGCCGCGGUAAUACGUAGGGUCCGAGCGUUGUCCGGAAUUACUGGGCGUAAAGAGCUCGUAGGUGGUUUGUCGCGUUGUUCGUGAAAACUCACAACUCAAUUGUGGGCGUGCGGGCGAUACGGGCAGACUAGAGUACUGCAGGGGAGACUGGAAUUCCUGGUGUAGCGGUGGAAUGCGCAGAUAUCAGGAGGAACACCGGUGGCGAAGGCGGGUCUCUGGGCAGUAACUGACGCUGAGGAGCGAAAGCGUGGGGAGCGAACAGGAUUAGAUACCCUGGUAGUCCACGCCGUAAACGGUGGGUACUAGGUGUGGGUUCCUUCCUUGGGAUCCGUGCCGUAGCUAACGCAUUAAGUACCCCGCCUGGGGAGUACGGCCG
rnacentral:rRNA from 1 species